AUUGAACGCUGGCGGCAUGCUUUACACAUGCAAGUCGAACGGUAACAGGGAGCUUGCUCCGCUGACGAGUGGCGAACGGGUGAGUAAUAUAUCGGAACGUACCCAAGAGUGGGGGAUAACGUAGCGAAAGUUACGCUAAUACCGCAUACGAUCUAAGGAUGAAAGCAGGGGACCUUCAGGCCUUGUGCUCCUGGAGCGGCCGAUAUCUGAUUAGCUAGUUGGUGAGGUAAAGGCUCACCAAGGCGACGAUCAGUAGCUGGUCUGAGAGGACGACCAGCCACACUGGAACUGAGACACGGUCCAGACUCCUACGGGAGGCAGCAGUGGGGAAUUUUGGACAAUGGGCGCAAGCCUGAUCCAGCAAUGCCGCGUGAGUGAAGAAGGCCUUCGGGUUGUAAAGCUCUUUUGUCAGGGAAGAAACGGCUGUGGCUAAUAUCCACGGCUAAUGACGGUACCUGAAGAAUAAGCACCGGCUAACUACGUG
rnacentral:rRNA from 1 species